rnacentral:tRNA from 1 species
GGAGAUGUGCCUGAAUGUUCAAGGACCACUUUGAUAGAGUGACACACGAAGGUUAAAAUCCUUCCAUCUCCU